rnacentral:misc_RNA from 1 species
AACCAUAGAAACCUGCGGAGUACCUGCGGAAGGAUCAUUACCGAGUGCGGGUCCGCGUGGCCCAACCUCCCACCCGUGCCUAUUGUACCCUGUUGCUUCGGCGGGCCCGCCAGCCUUCGGGCUGGCCGCCGGGGGGCGUCUCGCCCCCGGGCCCGUGCCCGCCGGAGACCCCAACAUGAACCCUGUUCUGAAAGCUUGGUGUCUGAGUGUGAUUGUUUGCAAUCGGUUAAAACUUUCAAC